AUUAUUAAAGGGCCGCGGUAUUCCUGACCGUGCGAAGGUAGCAUAAUCAUUAGUCUUUUAAUUGAAGGCUUGUAUGAAAGGUUGGACGAAAAAUGGACUGUUUCAAAUAAAAAGAUUGAAUUUAACUUUUAAGUGAAAAGGCUUAAAUAAAUUAAAAAGACGAUAAGACCCUAUAAAUCUUUACAUUUGUUAUUAUAGGUUUUGGAUUGUGUGUGUAAAAAAAAAUAUAAUAAAAAUGUUGUGUUGGGGCAACAGUGAUAUAGUAAUAUUAAUUGUUAAAAAUAAAAACAAAUAUAUUUGUUAAAUAAAGAUCCUUUUUAAAGAUUUAAAGAUUAAGUUACUUUAGGGAUAACAGCGUUAUUUUUUCUGAGAGUUCUUAUCGAAGAAAAAGAUUGCGACCUCGAUGUUGAAUUAAAAAUUCUUUUUAAUGCAGCAGUUAAAAAAGAAAGUCUGUUCGACUUUUAAAUUUUUACAUGAUUUGAGUUCAGACCGGCGUGAGC
rnacentral:rRNA from 1 species